AUUAAAUCAUGCUGUACAUGAAUUGUUCAUUCUUUGAAGACAGUCACAACGUUUGUCCUUUAAUUGAGUGAUGAAUGGAGGAAGUGCUGAAGUUUUUGGUUUGAAAAUGAAAUAAAUGUGUUACAGACGCACCGUUCUCAACAUUUGCCAGCCGGUGCAUCAGCGGAAGCCAAACCAGACAUUGAGGAGGAGGAUCUGACAUGAAUGUGUCGAGAAACACAUUGAGCGUCACCUUUUUCUGCAGAAGGACAGUGACCUCUUGUGGAAAGCAGGAUCUUGUGGACUGCUCAGUGUAUCCAAACGACGGACCCUCAAACACCGACACCGGCACUUUCAGCACUUCUCUGAGGAACU
rnacentral:lncRNA from 1 species